UACGUAGGGGGGCAAGCGUUGUCCGGAAUCAUUGGGCGUAAAGAGCGCGUAGGCGGCCCUGUAAGUCCGCUGUGAAAGUCAAGGGCUCAACCCUUGGAUGCCGGUGGAUACUGCAGGGCUAGAGUCCGGAAGAGGCGAGUGGAAUUCCUGGUGUAGCGGUGAAAUGCGCAGAUAUCAGGAGGAACACCGAUGGCGAAGGCAGCUCGCUGGGACGGUACUGACGCUGAGGAGCGAAAGCCAGGGGAGCAAACGGG
rnacentral:rRNA from 1 species